rnacentral:rRNA from 1 species
UACGGUGGGAGCAAGCGUUGUUCGGAUUUACUGGGCGUAAAGGGCGCGUAGGCGGCCACCGCAAGUCGAUUGUGAAAUCUCCGGGCUUAACUCGGAAAGGUCAACCGAUACUGCGGGGCUAGAGUGCAGAAGGGGCAACUGGAAUUCUCGGUGUAGCGGUGAAAUGCGUAGAUAUCGAGAGGAACACCUGCGGCGAAGGCGGGUUGCUGGGCUGACACUGACGCUGAUGUGCGAAAGCUAGGGGAGCGAACGGG